rnacentral:rRNA from 1 species
AAAAAAACGAAAAUAAAGGUUGACAUUGAAAUGAGACGCGGUAGAAUAUGCGCCUCGCUUGAGACAACAGGUUCUGCCAAACGGCAGCGUUGUUCAAGCCCGCUCUUUAACAAAUUGAUCAGGUAAUAUGUGUGGGCGCUUGUCAGGAUUGAGCACACUAAGCUUAAUCAAGGCAAGCAACCUAACUGAAUAUUCAUUUAGCGUUGUGUAAUACCUUGAGCCGAGUCUGAAAGGAUUUAUCCUUUCGCUAAAGACUCAACUAGAUUUUAAACUGAAGAGUUUGAUCAUGGCUCAGAUUGAACGCUGGCGGCAGGCCUAACACAUGCAAGUCGAGCGGUAGCACAGAGAAGCUUGCUUCUUGGGUGACGAGCGGCGGACGGGUGAGUAACGCGUGGGAAUCUACCUGGUAGUGGGGGACAACAGUCGGAAACGACUGCUAAUACCGCAUACGCCCUUCGGGGGAAAGUGGGGGAUCUUCGGACCUUACGCUAUCAGAUGAGCCCGCGUCGGAUUAGCUUGUUGGUGAGGUAAGAGCUCACCAAGGCGAUGAUCCGUAGCUGGUCUGAGAGGAUGACCAGCCACACUGGGACUGAGACACGGCCCAGACUCCUACGGGAGGCAGCAGUGGGGAAUAUUGGACAAUGGGGGCAACCCUGAUCCAGCCAUGCCGCGUGUGUGAAGAAGGCCUUCGGGUUGUAAAGCACUUUCAGCAGUGAGGAAAGGCGUAAGGUUAAUACCCUUGUGCUGUGACGUUAACUGCAGAAGAAGGACCGGCUAACUCCGUGCCAGCAGCCGCGGUAAUACGGAGGGUCCGAGCGUUAAUCGGAAUUACUGGGCGUAAAGCGCGCGUAGGUGGUUCAGUCAGUCAGAUGUGAAAGCCCCGGGCUCAACCUGGGAACUGCACCUGAUACUGCUGAGCUAGAGUACGGUAGAGGGUAGUGGAAUUUCCGGUGUAGCGGUGAAAUGCGUAGAGAUCGGAAGGAACACCAGUGGCGAAGGCGACUACCUGGACCGAUACUGACACUGAGGUGCGAAAGCGUGGGUAGCAAACAGGAUUAGAUACCCUGGUAGUCCACGCCGUAAACGAUGUCAACUAGCCGUUGGGGGACUUGAUCCUUUAGUGGCGAAGCUAACGCGAUAAGUUGACCGCCUGGGGAGUACGGCCGCAAGGUUAAAACUCAAAUGAAUUGACGGGGGCCCGCACAAGCGGUGGAGCAUGUGGUUUAAUUCGAAGCAACGCGAAGAACCUUACCUACUCUUGACAUCCAGAGAACUUUCCAGAGAUGGAUUGGUGCCUUCGGGAACUCUGAGACAGGUGCUGCAUGGCUGUCGUCAGCUCGUGUUGUGAAAUGUUGGGUUAAGUCCCGUAACGAGCGCAACCCCUAUCCUUAUUUGCCAGCGCGUAAUGGCGGGAACUCUAAGGAGACUGCCGGUGACAAACCGGAGGAAGGUGGGGAUGACGUCAAGUCAUCAUGGCCCUUACGAGUAGGGCUACACACGUGCUACAAUGGCCGGUACAGAGGGCUGCAAACCUGCGAAGGCAAGCUAAUCUCAGAAAACCGGUCGUAGUCCGGAUCGCAGUCUGCAACUCGACUGCGUGAAGUCGGAAUCGCUAGUAAUCGCGAAUCAGAAUGUCGCGGUGAAUACGUUCCCGGGCCUUGUACACACCGCCCGUCACACCAUGGGAGUGGGUUGCACCAGAAGUAGCUAGUCUAACCUUCGGGAGGACGGUUACCACGGUGUGAUUCAUGACUGGGGUGAAGUCGUAACAAGGUAGCCCUAGGGGAACCUGGGGCUGGAUCACCUCCUUA